rnacentral:rRNA from 1 species
UACGUAGGGUGCGAGCGUUAAUCGGAAUUACUGGGCGUAAAGCGUGCGCAGGCAGUUCGUUGUGUCGGUGGUGAAAGCCCCGGGCUUAACCUGGGAAUGGCCAUGGAAACUGGCGAACUGGAGUGUGGCAGAGGGGGUGGAAUUCCGCGUGUAGCAGUGAAAUGCGUAGAGAUGCGGAGGAACACCGAUGGCGAAGGCAGCCCCCCUGGGCUAGCACUGACGCUCAGGCACGAAAGCGUGGGGAGCAAACAGG